AAUGGGUCAGCGACUUAUAUUCUGUAGCAAGGUUAACCGAAUAGGGGAGCCGAAGGGAAACCGAGUCUUAACUGGGCGUUAAGUUGCAGGGUAUAGACCCGAAACCCGGUGAUCUAGCCAUGGGCAGGUUGAAGGUUGGGUAACACUAACUGGAGGACCGAACCGACUAAUGUUGAAAAAUUAGCGGAUGACUUGUGGCUGGGGGUGAAAGGCCAAUCAAACCGGGAGAUAGCUGGUUCUCCCCGAAAGCUAUUUAGGUAGCGCCUCGUGAAUUCAUCUCCGGGGGUAGAGCACUGUUUCGGCAAGGGGGUCAUCCCGACUUACCAACCCGAUGCAAACUGCGAAUACCGGAGAAUGUUAUCACGGGAGACACACGGCGGGUGCUAACGUCCGUCGUGAAGAGGGAAACAACCCAGACCGCCAGCUAAGGUCCCAAAGUCAUGGUUAAGUGGGAAACGAUGUGGGAAGGCCCAGACAGCCAGGAUGUUGGCUUAGAAGCAGCCAUCAUUUAAAGAAAGCGUAAUAGCUCACUGGUCGAGUCGGCCUGCGCGGAAGAUGUAACGGGGCUAAACCAUGCACCGAAGCUGCGGCAGCGACGCUUAUGCGUUGUUGGGUAGGGGAGCGUUCUGUAAGCCUGUGAAGGUGUACUGUGAGGUAUGCUGGAGGUAUCAGAAGUGCGAAUGCUGACAUAAGUAACGAUAAAGCGGGUGAAAAGCCCGCUCGCCGGAAGACCAAGGGUUCCUGUCCAACGUUAAUCGGGGCAGGGUGAGUCGACCCCUAAGGCGAGGCCGAAAGGCGUAGUCGAUGGGAAACAGGUUAAUAUUCCUGUACUUGGUGUUACUGCGAAGGGGGGACGGAGAAGGCUAUGUUGGCCGGGCGACGGUUGUCCCGGUUUAAGCGUGUAGGCUGGUUUUCCAGGCAAAUCCGGAAAAUCAAGGCUGAGGCGUGAUGACGAGGCACUACGGUGCUGAAGCAACAAAUGCCCUGCUUCCAGGAAAAGCCUCUAAGCAUCAGGUAACAUCAAAUCGUACCCCAAACCGACACAGGUGGUCAGGUAGAGAAUACCAAGGCGCUUGAGAGAACUCGGGUGAAGGAACUAGGCAAAAUGGUGCCGUAACUUCGGGAGAAGGC
rnacentral:rRNA from 1 species